rnacentral:lncRNA from 1 species
CCAAAAUGCAGCUAAACUAGUUCUCUCAUUUGCUAAUGACAACUUUGCCAGUGGAAGUUGUUGACUUUUGACUGUUUGCCCUUAAUGCUUUGUCUGUCAUUUGUGGAUGUAAGACUCCCAACAGCCAUGCUUGUUCACCUCUCUCCUUUGUUGAAUAUGAAGGGAAACUGAACAGUCUCACAGCGUGCCAUCAGUGUUAACUCAGAGCAUUUUAAAUCUUUAAUGUGAACAAACUGUGUAAGUCUCCCAUUCACUUGAUUUAAUACUUAAUAGGCUACCGUUCUCCAACCA